GGCAGCAGCCGCGGUAACACCGGCGGCCCGAGUGGUGAUCGUGAUUAUUGGGUCUAAAGGGUCCGUAGCCGGUUUGGUCAGUCCUCCGGGAAAUCUGAUAGCUCAACUAUUAGGCUUUCGGGGGAUACUGCCAGACUUGGAACCGGGAGAGGUAAGAGGUACUACAGGGGUAGGAGUGAAAUCUUGUAAUCCCUGUGGGACCACCUGUGGCGAAGGCGUCUUACCAGAACGGGUUCGACGGUGAGGGACGAAAGCUGGGGGCACGAACCGGAUUAGAUACCCGGGUAGUCCCAGCCGUAAACGAUGCUCGCUAGGUGUCAGGCAUGGCGCGACCGUGUCUGGUGCCGCAGGGAAGCCGUGAAGCGAGCCACCUGGGAAGUACGGCCGCAAGGCUGAAACUUAAAGGAAUUGGCGGGGGAGCACAACAACGGGUGGAGCCCUGCGGUUUAAUUGGACUCAACGCCGGACAACUCACCGGGGGCGACAGCAAUAUGUAGGCCAAGCUGAAGACUUUGCCUGAAUCGCUGAGAGGUGGUGCAUGG
rnacentral:rRNA from 1 species